CCUACGGGCGGCAGCAGUGGGGAAUAUUGCACAAUGGGCGCAAGCCUGAUGCAGCCAUGCCGCGUGUGUGAAGAAGGCCUUCGGGUUGUACAGCACUUUCAGCGGGGAGGAAGGCGUUAAGGUUAAUAACCUUGGCGAUUGACGUUACCCGCAGAAGAAGCACCGGCUAACUCCGUGCCAGCAGCCGCGGUAAUACGGAGGGUGCAAGCGUUAAUCGGAAUUACUGGGCGUAAAGCGCACGCAGGCGGUCUGUCAAGUCGGAUGUGAAAUCCCCGGGCCCAACCUGGGAACUGCAUUCGAAACUGGCAGGCUAGAGUCUUGUAGAGGGGGGUAGAAUUCCAGGUGUAGCGGUGAAAUGCGUAGAGAUCUGGAGGAAUACCGGUGGCGAAGGCGGCCCCCUGGACAAAGACUGACGCUCAGGUGCGAAAGCGUGGGGAGCAAACAGGAUUAGAUACCCGGGUAGUC
rnacentral:rRNA from 1 species